CUCAAAGCUGACAUAUUCUUGGUGAUGGAACUGUAGAUAGAAGCUAUAGGGAGAGAUGGAGGAAAUCAUGAGGGGAAGGAGAAUAGGCAAAAUGCCACAGGUUGCAGCAGGGGGUGCACAAUGUUAGCAGGAUUAAAUUUCCUUAGAUCUUUUGUAGAUCAGGAUUGCUUUCCUUGAUCCUACAGGAUCCUUGAGGGAUCACAGGGCAGAGAAUAGAUGUUAUUUUUUGUUGUCCCCAUCUGUCCCCAGCUAUGCAGAAUGGGGCUCUGCAAUGCUUUUUCAGCUGUUCUCUCCCUUUCAUGUGUGUUGCAGACUGGGGAGAGCUACUAAGAACACAGCUGAGUACAAGUACAAAGAAGUCACAAGAAGAGAAGAAUUGUUAUUUUCCACAUGUGAUUUCGCACACCUUCCAGAUCUGGCACCACCACCCCAGUGAUCUUGCACACCUCUUCAUCAGUCUUCUCAGUUCAAUGGGUAGCUGGUAG
rnacentral:lncRNA from 1 species